CGGAGCGAAAGCGACGUUCAACCGCAAAAGAAGCAGAGGGGGCUUAGUGGUGGGGUGACUGCGUACCUUUUGUAUAAUGGGUCAGCGACUUAUAUUCUGUAGCAAGGUUAACCGUAUAGGGGAGCCGGAGGGAAACCGAGUCUUAACCGGGCGUUAAGUUGCAGGGUAUAGACCCGAAACCCGGUGAUCUAGCCAUGGGCAGGUUGAAGGUUGGGUAACACUAACUGGAGGACCGAACCGACUAAUGUUGAAAAAUUAGCGGAUGACCUGUGGCUGGGGGUGAAAGGCCAAUCAAACCGGGAGAUAGCUGGUUCUCCCCGAAAGCUAUUUAGGUAGCGCCUCGUGAAUUCAUCUCCGGGGGUAGAGCACUGUUUCGGCUAGGGGGCCAUCCCGGCUUACCAACCCGAUGCAAACUGCGAAUACCGGAGAAUGUUAUCACGGGAGACACACGGCGGGUGCUAACGUCCGUCGUGAAGAGGGAAACAACCCAGACCGCCAGCUAAGGUCCCAAAGUCAUGGUUAAGUGGGAAACGAUGUGGGAAGGCCCAGACAGCCAGGAUGUUGGCUUAGAAGCAGCCAUCAUUUAAAGAAAGCGUAAUAGCUCACUGGUCGAGUCGGCCUGCGCGGAAGAUGUAACGGGGCUAAACCAUGCACCGAAGCUGCGGCAGCGACGCUUAUGCGUUGUUGGGUAGGGGAGCGUUCUGUAAGCCUGUGAAGGUGUGUCGUGAGGCAUGCUGGAGGUAUCAGAAGUGCGAAUGCUGACAUAAGUAACGAUAAAGCGGGUGAAAAGCCCGCUCGCCGGAAGACCAAGGGUUCCUGUCCAACGUUAAUCGGGGCAGGGUGAGUCGACCCCUAAGGCGAGGCCGAAAGGCGUAGUCGAUGGGAAACGGGUUAAUAUUCCCGUACUUGGUGUUACUGCGAAGGGGGGACGGAGAAGGCUAUGUUGGCCGGGCGACGGUUGUCCCGGUUUAAGCGUGUAGGUGUGUGUUCCAGGUAAAUCCGGUUCACUUUAACACUGAGGCGUGAUGACGAGGCACUACGGUGCUGAAGCAACAAAUGCCCUGCUUCCAGGAAAAGCCUCUAAGCAUCAGGUAACAUCAAAUCGUACCCCAAACCGACACAGGUGGUCAGGUAGAGAAUACCAAGGCGCUUGAGAGAACUCGGGUGAAGGAACUAGGCAAAAUGGUGCCGUAACUUCGGGAGAAGGCACGCUGACACGUAGGUGAAGUGAUUUACUCAUGGAGCUGAAGUCAGUCGAAGAUACCAGCUGGCUGCAACUGUUUAUUAAAAACACAGCACUGUGCAAACACGAAAGUGGACGUAUACGGUGUGACGCCUGCCCGGUGCCGGAAGGUUAAUUGAUGGGGUCAGCGCAAGCGAAGCUCCUGAUCGAAGCCCCGGUAAACGGCGGCCGUAACUAUAACGGUCCUAAGGUAGCGAAAUUCCUUGUCGGGUAAGUUCCGACCUGCACGAAUGGCGUAAUGAUGGCCAGGCUGUCUCCACCCGAGACUCAGUGAAAUUGAACUCGCUGUGAAGAUGCAGUGUACCCGCGGCAAGACGGAAAGACCCCGUGAACCUUUACUAUAGCUUGACACUGAACAUUGAGCCUUGAUGUGUAG
rnacentral:rRNA from 1 species